GCUUCCGAGGUCAAGGCGAGUAGCAUGUGCGGGAGACUCACGUUGCCGGCGAAGUGGGAGAGAGAAAAGUGGUAACCUGGGGCUGGGGGCCGGCGCGGCGGAGCUCGGAGUAGUAGAGCGGAGUGAAGACACGGGGGAGGAUAGAGACUGGCAUUCCUUUGGGCCGGGGGAUUGGCGGGAGUCGUGCUGGGUGCUCUCGCCGUGUUGAGGUCCCAGUGAGGGGAAGGAGAAGCGGAAGAGGGUCUCUAGUCGGGGCCUAGGGCAAAGGGACUACAAAAAGGAUGCAGAUGACUAUAGAAAUGAGGACGACGAGGAGAUGCUGUGGAGGAGCAGUAGAGGUGAGAAGAUGAUGCAAAGAAACUGUGUCAGUGAGGAACUGUAUAGAGGGUCAUAGAGGUGAGGUGGCGGAGAGAAACUAACUAACGGACCAUAGAGGUGGGGGAGCCAUUGUAGAAGGACGUGGACGCGAAAGGGUCGUGUAGAUGGGCAUAUGUGUGAAGCAGCAACGUAGAGGGGCUGAAGAGGAGAAAUUCAUGGAGAGAAAGAAUGCACCUAGAGUGAGCUCUGCAGAGUGCUGCGUGGGAUAUCCCUAGAGUUUGGUCUAGUGAAGGCACGCUAACCAGGCACCUAAGGCAUUUCAAGUAGUGACUUCCCACAUUUGGCUAGGAAUGUGGGUCCUCCUCCGAAGUGGGUACCCCCUCCGUAUCUUGUUACCCCUGCGUGGGGAGUGGAUGGGUCGGAGGGGCCUGCCCCGAAACUUGGCCCCAGGCCCUCCUCGCAGACGUUACAGGAAGGAGACUCUCCAAGCCUUGGAUAUGCCAGUGUUGCCUGUAACUGCAACUGAAAUCCGCCAGUAUUUGCGGGGGCAUGGGAUCCCCUUCCAGGAUGGUCACAGUUGCCUGCGGGCACUGAGCCCCUUUGCAGAGUCUUCACAGCUCAAAGGCCAGACUGGUGUUACCACUUCCUUCAGCCUCUUCAUUGACAAGACCACAGGCCACUUUCUCUGCAUGACCAGCCUAGCAGAAGGGAGCUGGGAAGACUUCCAGGCCAGCGUGGAGGGGCGAGGGGAUGGGGCCAGGGAGGGGUUUCUGCUUAGCAAGGCACCAGAAUUUGAGGACAGCGAGGAGGUCCGGAGGAUCUGGAACCGAGCAAUACCUCUCUGGGAGCUGCCUGAUCAGGAGGAGGUUCAGCUGGCUGAUACAAUGUUUGGCCUUACCAAGGUUACAGAUGACACACUCAAGCGUUUCAGUGUGCGAUAUCUGCGACCUGCUCGCAGUCUUGUCUUCCCUUGGUUCUCCCCUGGGGGCUCAGGAUUACGAGGCCUGAAGCUCCUAGAGGCUAAAUGCCAGGGGGAUGGAGUGAGCUACGAGGAAACCACUAUUCCCCGACCCAGCGCCUACCACAAUCUGUUUGGAUUACCACUGAUUAGUCGUCGAGAUGCUGAGGUGGUACUGACGAGUCGUGAGCUUGACAGCCUGGCCUUGAACCAGUCCACGGGGCUGCCUACCCUUACUCUACCCCGAGGAACGACCUGCUUACCCCCUGCCUUACUCCCUUACCUGGAACAGUUCCGGCGGAUUGUAUUCUGGUUGGGGGAUGACCUUCGGUCCUGGGAAGCCGCCAAGUUGUUUGCACGAAAACUGAACCCCAAACGAUGCUUCUUGGUGCGACCAGGAGACCAGCAACCCCGUCCCCUGGAGGCCCUGAACGGAGGCUUCAAUCUUUCUCGUAUUCUUCGUACCGCCCUGCCUGCCUGGCACAAGUCCAUCGUAUCUUUCCGGCAGCUUCGGGAGGAGGUGCUAGGAGAACUGUCAAAUGUGGAGCAAGCAGCUGGCCUCCGCUGGAGCCGCUUUCCAGACCUCAAUCGUAUCUUGAAGGGACAUCGAAAGGGCGAGCUGACGGUCUUCACAGGGCCAACAGGCAGUGGAAAGACGACAUUCAUCAGUGAGUAUGCCCUGGAUUUGUGUUCCCAGGGGGUGAACACACUGUGGGGUAGCUUCGAGAUCAGCAAUGUGAGACUAGCCCGGGUCAUGCUGACACAGUUUGCCGAGGGGCGGCUGGAAGAUCAACUGGACAAAUAUGAUCACUGGGCUGACCGCUUUGAGGACCUGCCCCUCUAUUUCAUGACUUUCCAUGGACAGCAAAGCAUCAGGACUGUAAUAGAUACAAUGCAACAUGCAGUCUACGUCUAUGACAUUUGUCAUGUGAUCAUCGACAACCUGCAGUUCAUGAUGGGUCACGAGCAGCUGUCCACAGACAGGUGACGGUGACAUCCUCUCUUGUCUAGCUUGAGCCCGCUUGGACAUACAACACACACUUCUCAGGCAGCUGGCCUCUAGGCACACAUGCUGUGCUCUCCUAUUUUCUGAGAUGUGUGCAGGAUCGCAGCUCAAGACUACAUCAUCGGGGUCUUUCGGAAGUUUGCAACAGACAAUAACUGCCAUGUGACACUGGUCAUUCACCCCCGGAAAGAGGAUGAUGACAAGGAACUGCAGACAGCGUCCAUUUUUGGCUCAGCCAAAGCAAGCCAGGAAGCAGACAAUGUUCUGAUCCUGCAGGACAGGAAGCUGGUAACCGGGCCAGGGAAACGGUAUCUGCAGGUGUCCAAGAACCGCUUUGAUGGAGAUGUAGGUGUCUUCCCGCUUGAGUUCAACAAGAACUCCCUCACCUUCUCCAUUCCACCAAAGAACAAGGCCCGGCUCAAGAAGAUCAAGGAUGACACUGGACCAGUGGCCAAAAAGCCCUCUUCUGGCAAAAAGGGGGCUACGACACAGAACUCUGAGAUUUGCUCAGGCCAGGCCCCCACUCCCGACCAGCCAGACACCUCCAAGCGUUCAAAGUGAAGGCCGUGCAGAGCUGGUCACUGAAAUGAGCCUGAUAGGAUAGGCUGGAGCAUAAAACUCUGCAAGGGCUCCUCUAUCCUGUGGUCCUGAGCUGUGUGCCCUUCUCAGUCUGAGGGGCCUAACCUAGAGCAGGUUUCCAUAGUGAGAAAAUUCAAUGUAGCAGACUACUGAGAAACUACUGUGUUGCUCAGGCUUUGUUUGAGGUCCUGUAUAUACAGCACUGAAAAGAGAGAUAAAGUCCCUGCCUGCAUGCAUUCUGGCGGAAGAGACAAGCAAGCAAUGAACAAAUUAGCAGAAAACCUAGUUUUAGUGAAAAAUGCUGUAAAGAAAAUAGAAAUGCGAUAGAGUGCUGGCAGGCUAGUGUAGAUAAGUGGUCUGAAAAGGUGUCUCUGAGCCGAGGGCAUGUGAGCUGGGGCCUAAACAACUAGAAGGAGAGAGCCACGUGAACAUCCGGCGAAGGGGACCCAGGCAGAGAGAAAAGGAAAUCCAAGCCCUGAGGUAGGAAUGAGCAGGUCAGAUUCAAGGCAGUGAGGUCAGGCCGCAUGAACCUGGAGGGGAAUCGGGGACUUCAUGCGAAACUCCAGCCUAGGCUUUCAAAGUCAAAGGGUGAUACAGUGGGUACCAAGCUCCUCUGCUCCCCACUUUGUAGAGCCUAGCAUGAGGUGGCAUGUACUAGAAUUGGAUCCUAGGUGCUUAGCCCUGCAAUAUCAGGGCCUCACUGGUGGGAGCUGCCUCGGGCUGGGUUGCUUGGUCAUAGAGCCAUAGAAGGAAGCUGUCAGCCCGGAGUGCCUGCCACCUAGACACUGAUGCCAUUGUGUGCUGCCUCAAGACUGCUGGAGUCAGGACAUUUUAUAGAGCCUUUUCCAGUUUUACUAAAAAAUUUUUCCAUUGCC